GCCCCGGGAGCCCCUCUGCGUCCCCAGCACUGGCAUGCAGGUGCUGCCACGCCUGGCUGCCACGCAUGGGAGCAGCUGAAGAGCUAAACUUAGGCCCCAAGUCUGUUUAGCAAGCCAUUUCUUGAGCCCUUGUUCUUCCCAUUUUAGGCCUUGAGAUAGCAUAGAAAGAAAGAGGUUUCACUACGACGAGUGUUUGCGAUUUUCCAGUUACUGAUUUGUCAGCUCUGGGCAGACUCCUAGCUGUGAAGAACAGAGAUCAUUCCAGUAUAUUGCUGUACUGGCCAGUACAGAUAAGCAACAGUGGAACAGUGGAAAAUUGGAUGCCACAUUCUACCGAGGCCUGAAAUUCCACUUGACUGCCUUUCUCCAUAGAGUGACCCGUAGUCUCCAGCAGUGUCUGUCGAUGUGUUUCAGAGAGCUGUGAUGCCACUGUGAGAGGAUCGAGCAAGAAGUGUGCUAUACUCAAGGGUCGUGGUAUCAACUUUGACUGUUUUCUCUGUGCUGUUCCUAUGAAACUCACAAUCAUUGAGAAAGACCGAUACUCACUGGCGUCCAUGUGACAUUUCCUACUGAAGAGAUAGGAAAAACAAUGGGAACUCAUUCACUCAUUCUUUACUGGAUCUAGCUUAUGCUUGGAUACGCCAAGAGCACAGAAGCAAAGGAAUGCAGAACUGAUAUCUAGACUAGAAUUUCUACUGGGAUGGGGUUGGAUGUUAUAGUGCCCCGGGGUUCCAGUCACGUUGUGUUCUUCCUAGACAGUUGGAGUUUUCAUAGCGGCCAAAUGAGAUGAGAGAAAGAAGGCUAAAGGAAAUCAAAUGCCAAAAGGCAAAGCCAAACUGAAGUCACUUCUCCUGAGUCUUGUGGGAGUGAAGAAAUGACAGAUCGAAAGUGAACAGUUGUCAGAUUCGGGAAAGGAGAAAUCUGCAUGUACUAGAAAAGUCAGCAGGGGUAAAAUUCCACUCUCCCGCUGGUAAGACUGAAGAUCCCCAGGUGCCUCAGUGAUUGACAGAGCUUUGAUUCAGCCUGGAGUUCGAUGGAACCAUUAGCAAUGAUGAGAACUUCACUGUGAUAGCAAAAAUAGAUUUUAGCCUUGUUCUCUGAAGAAGCAACCAAAAGAUUGGGCCUCAAAAUUUCUGAGUAGCUGAUGAUGACUUUGAACCUCUGAUCCCCUGUUUCAACCUCCUGAAUGAUGGGAAUCCAGGCAUGUGAGGGUCUCUGCAAACACCAGAGCUGGCAGAGUAACAGUCCAUCUCUGGCUGUCCCGGAUCUCACUCUACUGGCCUGGAACUCAGAGGUCUGCUUGCCUCUGCCUCCCAAGUGAUGAGAUUAAAGGUGUGUGCUGCCGCUGCCUGGCAAGUUUUCAUUUUGUGCCUUCAGAGCCCAGAAGAACCCAGAAGAAGGACCCCUGGAGGCGGUGGCACAGUUUCUUUCUGGACCAGCUCCAAAAGCAGACUGAAUUUACUGAAAAGGUGGAGUAUGAUGGUUCCUUGAAGAAACCUCCGUUUCCAAAUGUUCCACUCUGUUUUGGGGACAGGGAUUGUGGGGGUUGCAUCACUGCUGGAUGGUUGAGCCACUGAAAACCUUCUUUUGAUCUCUGAGUGUUUGCAACAUUUUGAUCAGAAGUUUCAGCUUUGACUAUAAGGGAUGUGGUACAAUCUCCGAAGGAAAUACAUGGAGAACCAACAGAACAGCACAGCCUGGGCAUAGUGCAGGGUGGCAGGAUGUAUUUCUGCGCACUCCUCCACUAAAGUGCUCCUGCUCUUUAGCCCUGGCUUUAGCUAGUUGUAUAACUCUGGUGUUCUGAUUUGUCAGUAUUUUAGCUUGAGCGUGGAUAAAAGGACCCUCCCAAACCAGUGUACCAAGUGGGGCAGCAGCUAGGAAAGUGUCUGCAUUUGGACAGCUUAAAUGUGUCCUCCUUUUGACAUUGUCCUUUGCCUUACAGAAACUUUGUAGUUUUAUGAGGUCCCAUUUGUCUAUUCUUGAUCUUAGAACAUAAGCUAUUGGUGUUCUAUUCAGGAACUUUUCCCCUGUGCCCAUGCCCUCAAGGGUCUUCCCCCGUUUCUUCUCUAUUAGUUUCAGUGUGUCAGGUUUUAUGUGGAGGUCCUUGAUCCAUUUGGAGUUGAGCUUAGUACAAGGAGAUAAGGAUGGAUCAAUUCGCAUUCUUCUGCAUGCUGACCUCCAGUUGAACCAGCACCAUUUGUUGAAAAGGCUAUCUUUUUUCCAUUGGAUGUUUUCAGCCCCUUUGUCGAGGAUCAAGUAGCCAUAGGUGUGUGGGUUCAUUUCUGGGUCUUCUAUCCUAUUCCAUUGAUCUGCUUGCCUGACAUUGUACCAAUGCCAUGGAGUUUUUAUCACUAUUGCUCUGCAGUAAAGCUUGAGGUCUGGGAUACUGAAUCCCCCAGAAGUUCUUUUACUGUUGAGAAUAGUUUUAGCUAUCCUGGGUUUUUUGUUAUUCCAGAAGAAUUUGAGAAUUGCUCUUUCUAGCUCUAUGAAGAACUGAGUUGGGAUUUUUAUGGGAAUUGCAUUGAAUCUGUAGAUUGCCUUUGGCAAGAUGGUCAUUUUAACUAUAUUAAUCCUGCCAAUCCACAAGCAUGGAAGAUUUUUCCAUUUUCUGAGGUCUUCUUCGAUUUCCUUCUUCAGAGAUCUGAAGUUUUUGCCAUAUAUGUCUUUUACUUGUUUGGUUAGAGUUACACCAAGUUGGGAAAGGUUCUUCACCAACCCUAAAUCCGACAGAGGGCUAAUACCUAAUAUAUACAAAGAACUCAAGAAGGUAGAACCCAGAGAACCAAAUAACCCCAUUAAAAAGUGGGGUACAGAGCUAAACAAAGAAUUUUCACAUGAAGAACUUUGGAGGGCUGAGAAGCACCUUAAGAAAUGUUCAACAUCAUUAAUCAUCAGGGAAAUGCAAAUCAAAACAACCCUGAGAUUUCACCUCAAACCAGUCAGAAUGGCUAAGGUCAAAAACUCAGGAGACAGCAGG